rnacentral:tRNA from 1 species
UUUUGGGUGGCUCAGACUAAGCGUCCACCUACAAUGCGGGAGACCCAGGUUCAAUCCCUGGCUCAGAAA